CAGACAAGUCUUACUGAGCCUGACCUUCGUAGAUUGUCUUUGUAUGUACAAAUUACAGUCUGUCGCCGGGACCCUUUGCAUGUAAAAACCAACACUGCCCCCGCAAAACGUCCCUAGGCUCUAGGUACAACCCCAGUAAGGACAGAACCUCCCCCCAACUCCUCUACACAAAGUGCACCUGCAACAACAUGAAUAGAAGUGGAGGCCCAAUCUUAAGUGAAACAACUCAGACAUAGAAAGACAAACACCGCAUGUUCUCACAUGGUCUCACUGUGUCACCCAGGCUGGAGUGCAGUGACGCCAUCACGGAUCAUUGCAGCCUCAACCUCCUAGGCUCAAGCAAUCCUCCCACCUCAUCCUCUGGAGUAGCUAGGACUACAGGUACAUGUCACUAUGCCUGGAUCAUUAGAAAGAAAUUUUUUUUGGUAGAAAUUAGGUCUUGGUAUGUUGCCCAGGCUGGUCAUUCAUAGG